CAAUAGCGUAUAUUAAAGUUGUUGCGGUUAAAAAGCUCGUAGUUGGAUUUCUGCUGAGAACGACCGGUCCGCCCUUUGGGUGUGUAUCUGGCUCUUUCUUGGCAUCUUCUUGGUGAACGUUGCUGCACUUGACUGUGUGGAGCGCUACCCAGGACUUUUACUUUGAGGAAAUUAGAGUGUUUCAAGCAGGCAUACGCCUUGAAUACAUUAGCAUGGAAUAAUAAGAUAGGACCUCGGUUCUAUUUUGUUGGUUUCUAGAGCUGAGGUAAUGAUUAAUAGGGAUAGUUGGGGGCAUUCGUAUUUAACUGGCAGAGGUGAAAUUCUUGGAUUUGUUAAAGACGGACUACUGCGAAAGCAUUUGCCAAGGAUGUUUUCAUUGA
rnacentral:rRNA from 1 species